rnacentral:rRNA from 1 species
GUGCCAGCAGCGCGGUACUACCGGCAGCUCAAGUGAUGUCCGGAAUCACUGGGCGUAAAGGGUGCGCAGGCGGGGCAGCAAGUCGGAGGUGAAAGCCCGUGGCUCAACCACGGAAGUGCCUUCGAAACUGUUGCUCUUGAGUCCCGGAGAGGUUGCCGGAAUUCGUGGUGUAGCGGUGAAAUGCGAAGAUAUCACGAGGAACACCAGAGGCGAAAGCGGGCAACUGGACGGGUACUGACGCUCAGGCACGAAAGCGCGGGGAGCAAACAGGAUUAGAAACCCCGUAGUC